ACCCAGCCGACGAGUCCCAAUUAGGACGAAACGUGCGUCCUGGAU
rfam:Schistosoma mansoni strain Puerto Rico chromosome 1, complete genome